rnacentral:rRNA from 1 species
AGAGUUUGAUCAUGGCUCAGAGCGAACGUUAGCGGCGGGCCUAACACAUGCAAGUCGAACGAGAAUGAGGGGGCAACUCCUCUAGUAAAGUGGCGGACGGGUGCGUAACACGUAGGUAAUUUACCUUCCGGCGGGGGACAACAGCCCGAAAGGGCUGCUAAUACCGCAUACGUCGGCGAGGUCUCCGGACCUUGUCGGGAAAGAUGGCCUCUCCUUGGAAGCUGUCACCGGAAGAUGAACCUGCGGCCCAUCAGCUAGUUGGUGAGGUAAUGGCUCACCAAGGCGAAGACGGGUAGCUGGUCUGAGAGGAUGAUCAGCCACACUGGGACUGCGACACGGCCCAGACUCCUACGGGAGGCAGCAGUGGGGAAUAUUGGGCAAUGGGCGAAAGCCUGACCCAGCCACGCCGCGUGAGUGAUGAAGGCCUUCGGGUCGUAAAGCUCUGUGGGGAGGGACGAAUAAGCUGGCAGUUAACACCUGCCGGCCCUGACGGUACCUCCUUAGUAAGCACCGGCUAACCAUGUGCCAGCAGCCGCGGUAAUAC